rnacentral:rRNA from 1 species
UGGGGAAUAUUGCACAAUGGGCGCAAGCCUGAUGCAGCCAUGCCGCGUGUGUGAAGAAGGCCUUCGGGUUGUAAAGCACUUUCAGCGAGGAGGAAGGUGGUGAGCUUAAUACGCUCAUCAAUUGACGUUACUCGCAGAAGAAGCACCGGCUAACUCCGUGCCAGCAGCCGCGGUAAUACGGAGGGUGCAAGCGUUAAUCGGAAUUACUGGGCGUAAAGCGCACGCAGGCGGUUUGUUAAGUCAGAUGUGAAAUCCCCGGGCUCAACCUGGGAACUGCAUUUGAAACUGGCAAGCUAGAGUCUCGUAGAGGGGGGUAGAAUUCCAGGUGUAGCGGUGAAAUGCGUAGAGAUCUGGAGGAAUACCGGUGGCGAAGGCGGCCCCCUGGACGAAGACUGACGCUCAGGUGCGAAAGCGUGGGGCAGCAAACAGGAUUAGAUACCCUGGUAGUCCAGCGCUGUAAACGAUGUCGAUUUUGGAGGUUGUGCCCUUGAGGCGUGGCUUCCGGAGCUAACGCGUUAAAUCGACCGCCUGGGGAGUACGGCCGCAAGAUUAAAACUCAAAUGAAUUGACGGGGUCAUAGCUGUUUCCU